rnacentral:rRNA from 1 species
GGACCCGCACAAGCAGUGGAGCAUGUGGUUUAAUUCGAAGAUACGCGCAGAACCUUACCAACACUUGACAUGUUCGUCGCGAGACUAAGAGAUUAGUUUUUUCAGUUCGGCUGGACGAAACACAGGUGCUGCAUGGCUGUCGUCAGCUCGUGUCGUGAGAUGUUGGGUUAAGUCCCGCAACGAGCGCAACCCCCUACUUUUAGUUGCCACCAUUUAGUUGGGCACUUUAAAAGAACUGCCAGUGAUAAGCUGGAGGAAGGUGGGGAUGACGUCAAGUCCUCAUGGCCCUUACGUGUUGGGCUACACACGUGCUACAAUGGCACUUACAAUGGGAAGCAAAGAGGUGACUCCUAGCUAAUCCCAAAAAUGUGUCUCAGUUCGGAUUGCACUCUGCAACUCGAGUGCAUGAAGCUGGAAUUGCUAGUAAUCGC